AACGAACGCUGGCGGCAGGCCUAACACAUGCAAGUCGAACGCUCCGCAAGGGGAGUGGCGCACGGGUGAGUAACACGUGGGAACCUACCUUCUGGUACGGAACAACCAAGGGAAACUUUGGCUAAGACCGUAUACGACCCCGGGUGAAAGAUUGAUCGCCGGAAGAGGGGCCCGCGUCCGAUUAGGUAGUUGGUGAGGUAACGGCUCACCAAGCCUUCGAUCGGUAGCUGGUCUGAGAGGAUGACCAGCCACACUGGGACUGAGACACGGCCCAGACUCCUACGGGAGGCAGCAGUGGGGAAUAUUGGACAAUGGGCGCAAGCCUGAUCCAGCCAUGCCGCGUGAGUGAUGAAGGCCUUCGGUUGUAAG
rnacentral:rRNA from 1 species